ensembl:lncRNA
GGCAGUCUCAGUCUUUUCUUGUCUGGCUGAGGUGCUGCGAAAACACACCAGAUACUGGGCUGGAAGACAAGGGACAGGUCUGGUCUCUGCUGAGUAUGGACAGUCUACUGGAAGGAGAUAACAACAGCGCCUCACCUGCUGCCCACUGGCUUUUUACCUGAUUCAUGUGCCCUGCAACCAACUGCCCAGAAAAAUGGACAAGCAGACCAUGAACGUCCAGCAUGAAAGGAAGGCAGUUCCAACACAGGCUACAGCCUGGAUGAAGCCUGAGGCCAUUAUGCUCAGUGACAUAAGCCAGAUACAGGAGAACAAAUGAUGUUUGAGUCCACUCAUAGAAGGUCCCUAGAGCAGUCGGCUCCCUAGACACGGAAAACAGGAUGGCCCAAAAGACUCCUUCGGAUGCAGAAUCUCUAUACCUACAAACACAACAUUGUAAGUCAGCUAUCCUCCAAAAGAAGUAAACAUUAAGUUUCUUUAAAAACAAAAACAAAAAACAGGGACUGAUGAGAUAGGCUUCUGGCAUGUGCCAGAAGAAACCAUGUACUAGGAGUAAUCCUAAGGCUCUGGUUAUUCUAGCCAACAGGAGUAGGUCAUGUAGAAAUCACGUCUCCUUGUGAACACGUACAGAGCUGAUGAGAUGUAAACGCUAAGAAUCACUGUUGAGAGGAGUACGGAACUGCCUUUUUAAAUUUUCAGUAAGACAAACAUAUUGAUUCCAGCCCAGGUCACAGGAGGACUUAAAGCGUAUCCUGCUC